rnacentral:misc_RNA from 1 species
UCCGGUUUGUCACCGGCAGUCUCGCAUGAGUCCCCAGCUUUACCUGCUGGCAACAUGCGACGAGGGUUGCGCUCGUUGCGGGACUUAACCCAACAUCUCACGACACGAGCUGACGACAGCCAUGCAGCACCUGUCACUCAUCCAGCCGAACUGAAGGAAAUCAUCUCUGAAAUCCGCGAUGAGGAUGUCAAACGCUGGUAAGGUUCUGCGCGUUGCUUCGAAUUAAACCACACGCUCCACCGCUUGUGCGGGUCCCCGUCAAUUCUUUUGAGUUUUAACCUUGCGGCCGUACUCCCCAGGCGGAUGACUUAACGCGUUAGCUGCGCCACCGAAACUCCAUGAGCCCCGACAGCUAGUCAUCAUCGUUUACGGCGUGGACUAC